GUUCUGUAAGCCUGUGAAGGUGUGUCGUGAGGCAUGCUGGAGGUAUCAGAAGUGCGAAUGCUGACAUAAGUAACGAUAAAGCGGGUGAAAAGCCCGCUCGCCGGAAGACCAAGGGUUCCUGUCCAACGUUAAUCGGGGCAGGGUGAGUCGACCCCUAAGGCGAGGCCGAAAGGCGUAGUCGAUGGGAAACGGGUUAAUAUUCCCGUACUUGGUGUUACUGCGAAGGGGGGACGGAGAAGGCUAUGUUGGCCGGGCGACGGUUGUCCCGGUUUAAGCGUGUAGGUGUGUGUUCCAGGUAAAUCCGGUUCACUUUAACACUGAGGCGUGACGACGAGGCACUACGGUGCUGAAGCAACAAAUGCCCUGCUUCCAGGAAAAGCCUCUAAGCAUCAGGUAACAUCAAAUCGUACCCCAAACCGACACAGGUGGUCAGGUAGAGAAUACCAAGGCGCUUGAGAGAACUCGGGUGAAGGAACUAGGCAAAAUGGUGCCGUAACUUCGGGAGAAGGCACGCUGACACGUAGGUGAAGUGAUUUACUCAUGGAGCUGAAGUCAGUCGAAGAUACCAGCUGGCUGCAACUGUUUAUUAAAAACACAGCACUGUGCAAACACGAAAGUGGACGUAUACGGUGUGACGCCUGCCCGGUGCCGGAAGGUUAAUUGAUGGGGUCAGCGCAAGCGAAGCUCCUGAUCGAAGCCCCGGUAAACGGCGGCCGUAACUAUAACGGUCCUAAGGUAGCGAAAUUCCUUGUCGGGUAAGUUCCGACCUGCACGAAUGGCGUAAUGAUGGCCAGGCUGUCUCCACCCGAGACUCAGUGAAAUUGAACUCGCUGUGAAGAUGCAGUGUACCCGCGGCAAGACGGAAAGACCCCGUGAACCUUUACUAUAGCUUGACACUGAACAUUGAGCCUUGAUGUGUAGGAUAGGUGGGAGGCUUUGAAGUGUGGACGCCAGUCUGCAUGGAGCCGACCUUGAAAUACCACCCUUUAAUGUUUGAUGUUCUAACGUGGACCCGUGAUCCGGGUUGCGGACAGUGUCUGGUGGGUAGUUUGACUGGGGCGGUCUCCUCCUAAAGAGUAACGGAGGAGCACGAAGGUUGGCUAAUCCUGGUCGGACAUCAGGAGGUUAGUGCAAUGGCAUAAGCCAGCUUGACUGCGAGCGUGACGGCGCGAGCAGGUGCGAAAGCAGGUCAUAGUGAUCCGGUGGUUCUGAAUGGAAGGGCCAUCGCUCAACGGAUAAAAGGUACUCCGGGGAUAACAGGCUGAUACCGCCCAAGAGUUCAUAUCGACGGCGGUGUUUGGCACCUCGAUGUCGGCUCAUCACAUCCUGGGGCUGAAGUAGGUCCCAAGGGUAUGGCUGUUCGCCAUUUAAAGUGGUACGCGAGCUGGGUUUAGAACGUCGUGAGACAGUUCGGUCCCUAUCUGCCGUGGGCGCUGGAGAACUGAGGGGGGCUGCUCCUAGUACGAGAGGACCGGAGUGGACGCAUCACUGGUGUUCGGGUUGUCAUGCCAAUGGCACUGCCCGGUAGCUAAAUGCGGAAGAGAUAAGUGCUGAAAGCAUCUAAGCACGAAACUUGCCCCGAG
rnacentral:rRNA from 1 species